AGUGAACGCUGGCGGUAGGCCUAACACAUGCAAGUCGAACGGCAGCACAGGAGAGCUUGCUCUCUGGGUGGCGAGUGGCGGACGGGUGAGGAAUACAUCGGAAUCUACUUUGUCGUGGGGGAUAACGUAGGGAAACUUACGCUAAUACCGCAUACGACCUACGGGUGAAAGCAGGGGAUCUUCGGACCUUGCGCGAUUGAAUGAGCCGAUGUCGGAUUAGCUAGUUGGCGGGGUAAAGGCCCACCAAGGCGACGAUCCGUAGCUGGUCUGAGAGGAUGAUCAGCCACACUGGAACUGAGACACGGUCCAGACUCCUACGGGAGGCAGCAGUGGGGAAUAUUGGACAAUGGGCGCAAGCCUGAUCCAGCCAUACCGCGUGGGUGAAGAAGGCCUUCGGGUUGUAAAGCCCUUUUGUUGGGAAAGAAAUCCAGCCGGCUAAUACCUGGUUGGGAUGACGGUACCCAAAGAAUAAGCACCGGCUAACUUCGUGCCAGCAGCCGCGGUAAUACGAAGGGUGCAAGCGUUACUCGGAAUUACUGGGCGUAAAAGCGUGCGUAGGUGGUUAUUUAAGUCCGUUGUGAAAGCCCCUGGGCUCCACCUGGGAACUGCAGUGGAUACUGGAUGACUAGAGGGGGGGAGAGGGGGGGGGGAAAUUCCGGGGGUGGAGGAGAAAUGGGGUAAGGUCAGGGGGGACAUCCCUGGGGAGGGGGGGUUUCGGGGGCGGAUGGAGGGAGGGGGG
rnacentral:rRNA from 1 species